rnacentral:rRNA from 1 species
UACGUAGGGACCAAGCGUUGUUCGGAUUUACUGGGCGUAAAGGGCGCGUAGGCGGCUUGACAAGUCACUUGUGAAAUCUCCGGGCUUAACUCGGAACGGCCAAGUGAUACUGUCAAGCUAGAGUGCAGAAAGGGCAAUCGGAAUUCUUGGUGUAGCGGUGAAAUGCGUAGAUAUCAAGAGGAACACCUGAGGCGAAGGCGGGUUGCUAGGCUGACACUGACGCUGAAGCGCGAAAGCCAGGGGAGCAAACGGG